rnacentral:rRNA from 1 species
AUGGAGGCGGCCAACCCCAAUCCCACCGUGGUGCUGCACGCCUGCCUGGGCGUGGGCCACCUCAUCCCCAUGGUGGAGCUCGCCAAGCUCUUCCUCCUCCGCGGCGUCCCCGUCGUCAUCGCCGUCCCGACCCCGCCGGCCUCCACCGCCGAUUUCUUCUCGUCCACCGCCUCCGCCGUCGCCGGCCUCGAGGCCGCCAACCCUUCGAUCGCCUUCCACCACCUCCCGCCCCCGGACUACCCCGACCCCGACCCCCACCCCUUCCUGCAGAUGCUCGACCUGCUCCGCCUCACCGUGCCGUCCCUGCUCGCCUUCCUCCGCUCCCUCCCCUCCGUCGCCGCGCUCGUCCUCGACCUCUUCUGCAUCGACUCCCUCGACGCCGCCGCCCAGACCGGCGUCCCGGCGUACAUCUACUACACCUCCUCCGCUGGCGACCUCGCGGCGUUCCUCCACCUGCCCCACCACUUCGCCACCACGGAGGGGAGCUUCAGGGACAUGGGCAAGGCGCCCCUCCGCUUCCCCGGGGUCCCGCCGAUCCCGGCGUCCGACAUGCCGCACACCGUGAUGGACCGCGCGGACCCGAUCUGCACCAUCAGGAUCGGGCACUACGGGCGCAUCCCGGAGGCCAGGGGCGUGCUGGUCAACACCUACGAGUGGCUUGAGGCGAGGGCCGUGGGGGCGCUCAGGGAGGGCGUGUGCGUCCCCGGCCGCCCGACCCCACCGGUGUACUGCAUCGGGCCGCUGAUCGUCUCGGACUCGGCGGCGGCGCAAGGCGAGCGGCACGCGUGCUUGUCAUGGCUGGACGCGCAGCCGGAGCGGAGCGUGGUGUUCCUCUGCUUCGGCAGCAUGGGCGCCGUGUCGGCGGCGGAACUGAAGGAGAUAGCGCACGGGCUCGAGAACUCCGGCCACCGCUUCCUGUGGGUCGUGCGCACCCCUCCGGCUGACCCGGCCAAAUUCUUCCUGCCGCGUCCGGAGCCAGACCUGGACGCGCUCCUCCCCGAGGGGUUCACGGAGAGGACACGAGACAGGGGGAUGGUGCUGAAGAUGUGGGCGCCGCAGGUGGAGGUGCUGCGGCACGCCGCCACCGGCGCGUUUGUGACGCACUGCGGGUGGAACUCCGUCCUGGAAGCGGCGUCGGCCGGGGUGCCGAUGCUGUGCUGGCCGCAGUACGCGGAGCAGAGGCUGAACAAAGAGUUCGUGGUGGACGAGAUGAAGGUCGGGGUGGUGAUGGAGGGAUACGAUGAGGAGCUUGUGAGGGCUGAGGAGGUGGAGAGGAAGGUGAGGCUGGUCAUGGAGUCAGAGGAAGGGGAGAAGCUGAGGGAGAGGCUGGCACUGGCCAAGGAGAAGGCCGCUGAAGCGAUGGCAGACGGCGGGCCGUCGCGGAUGGCGCUCGCCGAGUUCUUGAAGCAUUCGAAGCUCUCCACAUGA